AACACAUGCAAGUCGAACGAUGAAGCCCAGCUUGCUGGGUGGAUUAGUGGCGAACGGGUGAGUAACACGUGAGUAACCUGCCCUUAACUCUGGGAUAAGCCUGGGAAACUGGGUCUAAUACCGGAUAGGAGCGCCUACCGCAUGGUGGGUGUUGGAAAGAUUUAUCGGUUUUGGAUGGACUCGCGGCCUAUCAGCUUGUUGGUGAGGUAAUGGCUCACCAAGGCGACGACGGGUAGCCGGCCUGAGAGGGUGACCGGCCACACUGGGACUGAGACACGGCCCAGACUCCUACGGGAGGCAGCAGUGGGGAAUAUUGCACAAUGGGCGCAAGCCUGAUGCAGCGACGCCGCGUGAGGGAUGACGGCCUUCGGGUUGUAAACCUCUUUCAGUAGGGAAGAAGCGAAAGUGACGGUACCUGCAGAAGAAGCACCGGCUAACUACGUGCCAGCAGCCGCGGUAAUACGUAGGGUGCGAGCGUUAUCCGGAAUUAUUGGGCGUAAAGAGCUCGUAGGCGGUUUGUCGCGUCUGUCGUGAAAGUCCGGGGCUUAACCCCGGAUCUGCGGUGGGUACGGGCAGACUAGAGUGCAGUAGGGGAGACUGGAAUUCCUGGUGUA
rnacentral:rRNA from 1 species